UGUGGGAGUCUUCGAACUUGGGAUGAUGUCAGCUGACUUCCCAUCUAAGGCUGUUCCAUGGGCCCAAAAUCUUUCAAUACGUACAAACUGGAAUUGGAAUUGGAAAAACUUUUGGCCAAUUUGUAGCAGGUUUUCCAGGGAAGUAUUUUUCACUGACACUGUGGAAACCUAAAUAAGCUUCUCCCUCAGGAUCAUCGUAAGAGUCUGGAAAUAUCAAUCAGCCCGAAACACAGUCCAAGAUUUCAUGUUUUUUGGUUUUUACAAACUGUCAGUUUUGAUUUUUAUUGAGCAAUAAGAAGUUUAGUUGUUUAUUGGAACAAACAAGGCUAGUGACCGUUCUUUCCAAGUGCUGGAUCUUUCCAUUCACUUGAACUAAACGAAGUAUUUCUGGUAUGCCCAGAAGAGGCAAGAAUGUAGAACCGAUGAGCUUGCAUUAGAAAGGAUUUGUGAUGCCUCCUGCAGGUCAUUCCACCCCCCCACCCCCGUGAUCAGCCCAUUUGCAUUCUGUGUUCUGUUUAAAUCUUUGCAAAUACAAAUUGGAUACAAAUUCCAAUUCCCUCCUGGUAAAACUGGAAUUUACUUUUAAAAAAUGAGGAAACUAGGAAAUUCCGUGACUACCUCUUUGUUUUAAAGCAAACAAACUGUAGCAUCACGUCUAUGAGCAAAGAACUUACAGAGAGUGAGCCUGGAUAUUUCCACCCUGACGAGAUUGUGAGAGCGUGUCUUAGAGGCUGCGCCGGAGACUCCUUUGAUCUCAGCUGGUAAACAACCCUGGAAGCAAGGAUUUUUUUCUCUCUCUUCACCAAUCCACAGGCUCCUCUCCCCCCAGCUUGUACUGGAACCUAUAAGGAAUGCCUCUAAAUAGACAGUGUUCUAAACUGGAUCUCUUGAUGGGCCUCAGAUGAGAAUGGAAAGCUUCCCUCUACUGUGUUGGAGCGUGUGUUGCUGCUUUGGGUAAAAAUCUUCCUGGGCAAAUGACUUGAAGUGUAAGACAAAUCUUAUUG